rnacentral:rRNA from 1 species
AUUGAACGCUGGCGGCAUGCCUUACACAUGCAAGUCGAACGGUAGAGUAGCAAUACUCGAGAGUGGCGAACGGGUGAGUAACAUAUCGGAACGUGCCCAGUCGUGGGGGAUAACGUAGCGAAAGCUACGCUAAUACCGCAUACGAUCUAUGGAUGAAAGCGGGGGAUCGCAAGACCUCGCGCGAUUGGAGCGGCCGAUAUCAGAUUAGGUAGUUGGUGAGGUAAAGGCUCACCAAGCCGACGAUCUGUAGCUGGUCUGAGAGGACGACCAGCCACACUGGGACUGAGACACGGCCCAGACUCCUACGGGAGGCAGCAGUGGGGGAAUUUUUGGACAAUGGGCGGCAAGCCUGAUCCAGCAAUGCCGCGUGCAGGAUGAAGGCCU